GUGAAUCAUCAAAUUUUUGAACGCAAAUUGCGCUUUCUGGUAUUCCGGAAAGUAUGCCUGUUUGAGGGUCAGUUAAAUAAAAAUCGGUGGUGUGGCUGCCGUUCGUUGUGACGCGUCGUAAUUGAGUUGUCUUACCUUCGGUUAAGUGACUUAGAAUUUUGCAUGAUUUUCGAACGUAUUUAUAUUUCUUACGUACGUUUGAGAUAUCGAAGACUUUAUUAGGUUCGUUCAUCCUCAUUAUUCGCACCUAUAAGUUUUCAUUAAAUGACCUCAAAUCAUGUAAGGAUACCAGCUGAACUUA
rnacentral:misc_RNA from 1 species